rnacentral:rRNA from 1 species
AUUCACGGAGAGUUUGAUCCUGGCUCAGGACGAACGCUGGCGGCGUGCCUAAUACAUGCAAGUCGAGCGAAGCAGAUUAGUGGAGCUCUUCGGAGUGAAGCUGAUUUGACUGAGCGGCG